rnacentral:lncRNA from 1 species
GGGGUGUACAUUGUAUUGGAAACCUUAAAUACUCUUCAGAUAGAACAUGUUUUCAAUCAAGGUUCUCAUGUGGCUUACACCGAAACCUGAAGCUGUUUGGAUUAGGGGAAGGAGAGGGACAGUACAGCAGAUGAGUGCUUAGUUUGCCAAAAAGACCCCUCACAAUAAGUGCUCUUCAGCCAGCGUAUCAGCUUCUGCCAAACCUUCUUCAAUGGGUUCCAUCACUGAAGGCCCGUUCUGAGAGAUGGUCAUGUUCACCUAUCAAAAUCUGCUGAAAUCCUUUAAUGGUCUCCUUCAGGAGUACUGACUUCCCCAUAUGACCUGUGAUGACCUCAGCAGCCUGGAAUGGCUGAGACAAGAAACGUUGUAUUAUCCACAUUCAAGACACAGUCAACUUGUCUUCCUCAGAAAGUUAAUCCAUACCCAAUAUGGAUUAUGACAAUAACGUAUGGAGGGAUUUGUAGCCAUGCAGAAUCUUUUGCACCCCACGGGCAACAUCAUUAUGCUCAUUGCCAACAAUGUUGGGAUCCAUGAUGUGAGAGAUGGAGUCCAGAGGAUCCACAUGUAGAUAGAUGCCCAGCUCAGUGACAGCAUGGGGCAGCACAGUGGUGGCAUCCAAAUGAGCAAAGGAAGUAGCAGAGGCAGUCGAGUCAUCAGCAGGUACAUAGCCUGUACAGAGGUGAUAGAUCUCCUCUUGGUAGUGGCAAUUCUUUCCCCACAUCAUACCCACCAUGUCAGUGGCCAGGGUAGGCUGAUAGCCCACAGCAGAAGGGAUUCUGCCCAAUAAGGCAGACACCCUUGAGCCAGCCUUGGAGGUAACAUUUUUUAAGUUGACAACACCAGACUCAGUCAUUUCAUAAUAUAAGUCAUUGCCCUUACAGGUCCUCUCAAAAACACCAGCAAACCCAGAUUAAGCACCAUGGGCUUUGGCAACAUUAUUGAUUAACUCCAUGAUGGGUACAAUCUUGUCAACUCCAACACCACUAAAAAGCCCAAUUUUGCCACUCUUGGCUAGGGAGUGAGGAAAUCCACAACUUUGAUACUAGCCACCAGAAUUUCUUGCUCAACGCUAAUUUCCAUGAACUCAGGAGCCUCAACAUAAAUGGGAGCAAACUGUUUCAUUUUGAUGGGACCGCUUUCAUCAAUAGGCUCUCCAAUGAUGUUCAUGAUUCUGCUCAAAGUCUCAGGACCAACAGGACUUUCGAUUGGUGCACCAGAAUCCAGGACUUUCUGGCCUCUAAACAAGCCUUCUGUACCAUUCAUAGCAUAAUCCUUACUGUGCUCUCACCCAAAUGCUGGGUCACCACAAAAACCAGCCUGGUCUCCCUGCCUUGUACUUGCUGGGCAUUUAAAAUAGAUGGUAGUCCCUCAUCAAACUGGAUAUCCACUACUGCAUCAAUGACCACCACAAUACACCCAGUGGUGGUGCCUGUCUUCAGCAAAGGUGAUGUUUGUGCCCAUAUUUCCUGGUAGAUUGGAUUGCUGCCAGAGUGGCCCAUGGCAAGACCUGAGCUUGGAGUAGCAACACUGACGGGCUGAGUUCCUGCAAGGCCCUGGAGGCUGAGGCAGCAGACAUGACCCACAGAACUCAACAUGG